AGGGUGCUAACUCAAUGGGAGAGUACCUGCUUUACAAGCAGGGGUUGGUGGUUCGAUUCCGCUGUGCCCUA
rnacentral:tRNA from 1 species